UACAGAGGUCCCAAGCGUUGUUCGGAUUCACUGGGCGUAAAGGGUGCGUAGGUGGCCAGGUAAGUUCGGUGUGAAAGCUCGGAGCUUAACUUCGAAAUGGCAUUGAAUACUAUCUGGCUGGAGGGUCGGAGGGGAGACUGGAAUUCUCGGUGUAGCAGUGAAAUGCGUAGAUAUCGAGAGGAACACCAGUGGCGAAGGCGAGUCUCUGGACGACUCCUGACACUGAGGCACGAAAGCCAGGGGAGCAAACAGG
rnacentral:rRNA from 1 species